rnacentral:rRNA from 1 species
AUUGAACGCUGGCGGCAGGCCUAACACAUGCAAGUCGAACGAAUGGCGGACGGGUGAGUAAUUUCUGGGAAACUGCCCGAUGUACGGAGCUAACUACUGGAAACGGUAGCUAAUACCGCAUACGCUCGUAUGUGCCCAGAUGGGAUUAGCGAGUGGGUGGGGUAAUGGCUCACAUAGGCGACGAUCCCUAGCUGGUCUGAGAGGAUGACCAGCCACACGGGGACUGAGACACGGUCCAGACUCCUACGGGAGGCAGCAGUGGGGAAUAUUGCGCAAUGGGCGAAAGCCUGAUGCAGCCAUGCCGCGUGUAUGAAGAAGGCUUUCGGGUUGUAAAGUACGGUCAGUGAGGAGGCGUUACCUGCCGAAGAAGCAACGGCUAACUCCGUGCCAGCAGCCGCGGUAAUUC